AUUGAACGCUGGCGGCAGGCCUAACACAUGCAAGUCGAACGAGUGGCGGACGGGUGAGUAAUGUCUGGGAAACUGCCUGAUGGAGGGGGAUAACUACUGGAAACGGUAGCUAAUACCGCAUACCAUCAGAUGUGCCCAGAUGGGAUUAGCUAGUUGGUGGGGUAACGGCGCACCAAGGCGACGAUCCCUAGCUGGUCUGAGAGGAUGACCAGCCAAACGGGAACUGAGACACGGGCCAGAGUCAUAAGGGAGGCAGCAGUGGGGAAUAUUGCACAAUGGGGGAAAGCCUGAGGCAGCAAUGCCGCGUGUAUGAAGAAGGCCUUCGGGUUGUAAAGUACUUUCAGCGGGGAGGCGUUACCCGCAGAAGAAGCACCGGCUAACUCCGUGCCAGCCGCCGCGGUAAUUC
rnacentral:rRNA from 1 species